UACAGAGGUGGCGAGCGUUGUUCGGAUUUACUGGGCGUAAAGGGCGCGUAGGUGGUUCUGUGUGUCGAUUGUGAAAUCUCACUGCUCAACGGUGAAAUUGCAGUCGAAACUGCGGAACUAGAGUGCAGGAGAGGAGAGCGGAAUUCUUGGUGUAGCAGUGAAAUGCGUUGAUAUCAAGAGGAACACCGGUGGCGAAGGCGGCUCUCUGGAAUGCUACUGACACUGAGGCACGAAAGCUGGGGGAGCAAACAGG
rnacentral:rRNA from 1 species